rnacentral:misc_RNA from 1 species
AAGGAUCAUUAAAACGUUCCAAACGUAAAAACCAAUCGUGAACUCAUCACCCUUUGAAGUAAAGAACUAACGUUGAGAGACUGCUACUCUUUGUGAUGGAGUUCAGUGUCUGCAGCUCGUCUGCCUUACUUUGAAGUGGUUUCAUCAUCACUCACUAACUUACUAAACCCUUUAAUCUUUUAUGAACUAACUUGUUGUUUGUUGAGUCUUCGGACUCACGUAACAAUCAUUACGAAAAUUACGAACAACUCUUAACAACGGAUAUCUUGGUUCUC